rnacentral:rRNA from 1 species
AUAUCAAUAAGCGGAGGAAAAGAAACCAACAGGGAUUGCCCUAGUAACGGCGAGUGAAGCGGCAACAGCUCAAAUUUGAAAUCUGGCUCUCGGGCCCGAGUUGUAAUUUGUAGAGGAUACUUUUGAUGCGGUGCCUUCCGAGUUCCCUGGAACGGGACGCCAUAGAGGGUGAGAGCCCCGUCUGGUUGGAUGCCAAAUCUCUGUAAAGUUCCUUCAACGAGUCGAGUAGUUUGGGAAUGCUGCUCUAAAUGGGAGGUAUAUGUCUUCUAAAGCUAAAUACCGGCCAGAGACCGAUAGCGCACAAGUAGAGUGAUCGAAAGAUGAAAAGCACUUUGAAAAGAGAGUUAAAAAGUACGUGAAAUUGUUGAAAGGGAAGCGUUUAUGACCAGACUUGGGCUUGGUUAAUCAUCUGGGGUUCUCCCCAGUGCACUUUUCCAGUCCAGGCCAGCAUCAGUUUUCCCCGGGGGAUAAAGGCGGCGGGAAUGCGGCUCUCUUCGGGGAGUGUUAUAGCCCACCGUGUAAUACCCUGGGGGGGACUGAGGUUCGCGCAUCUGCAAGGAUGCUGGCGUAAUGGUCAUCAACG